CCCGCUCAGAAACUACAAAGGAAGUUGACGGGGCCCGGCACAAGCGGUGGAGUAUGUGGUUUAAUUCGAUGCAACGCGAAGAACCUUACCUGGUCUUGACAUCCCGGAGACCCUUAGGAAACUAGGGGUGCUUCCAUCUGGAAGAAUCUGGAGACAGGUGCUGCAUGGCUGUCGUCAGCUCGUGUCGUGAGAUGUUGGGUUAAGUCCCGUAACGAGCGCAACCCUUGCCUUUAGUUGCCAGCAGUUCGGCUGGGCACUCUAAAGGGACUGCCGGUGUUAAACCGGAGGAAGGUGGGGAUGACGUCAAGUCCUCAUGGCCUUUAUGACCAGGGCUACACACGUACUACAAUGGCCGAUACAAAGGGCAGCGACACUGCGAGGUGAGGCCAAUCCCGUAAAAUCGGUCUCAGUCCGGAUUGGAGUCUGCAACUCGACUCCAUGAAGUUGGAAUCGCUAGUAAUCGUGGAUCAGCAUGCCACGGUGAAUACGUUCCCGGGCCUU
rnacentral:rRNA from 1 species